GACGAACGCUGGCGGCGUGCCUAAUACAUGCAAGUUGAGCGAUGAAGCUUGGUGCUUGCCCCAAUUUGAAGAGCAGCGAACGGGUGAGUAACGCGUGGGGAAUCUGCCUUUGAGCGGGGGACAACAUUUGGAAACGAAUGCUAAUACCGCAUAACAACUUUAAACAUAAGUUUUAAGUUUGAAAGAUGCAAUUGCAUCACUCAAAGAUGAUCCCGCGUUGUAUUAGCUAGUUGGUGAGGUAAAGGCUCACCAAGGCGAUGAUACAUAGCCGACCUGAGAGGGUGAUCGGCCACAUUGGGACCGAGACACGGCCCAAACUCCUACGGGAGGCAGCAGUAGGGAAUCUUCGGCAACGGACGAAAGUCUGACCGAGCAACGCCGCGUGAGUGAAGAAGGUUUUCGGAUCGUAAAACUCUGUUGGUAGAGAAGAACGUUGGUGAGAGUGGAAAGCUCAUCAAGUGACGGUAACUACCCAGAAAGGGACGGCUAACUACGUG
rnacentral:rRNA from 1 species